AUUGAACGCUGGCGGCAGGCUUAACACAUGCAAGUCGAGCGGGGUGAUGGUGCUUGCACUAUCACUUAGCGGCGGACGGGUGAGUAAUGCUUAGGAAUCUGCCUAUUAGUGGGGGACAACAUCUCGAAAGGGAUGCUAAUACCGCAUACGUCCUACGGGAGAAAGCAGGGGAUCACUUGUGACCUUGCGCUAAGAGAUGAGCCUAAGUCGGAUUAGCUAGUUGGUGGGGUAAAGGCCUACCAAGGCGACGAUCUGUAGCGGGUCUGAGAGGAUCGGUACGCCAAACUGGGAAUGAGGCAACGGCCAGGAUCCUACGGGAGGCAGCAGUGGGGAAUAUUUGAAAAUGGGGGGAAACCUGAUCCAGCCAUGCCGCGUGGGGGAAGAAGGCCUUAUGGUUGUAAAGCACUUUAAGCGAGGAGGAGGCUCUUUUGGUUAAUACCCAAGAUGAGUGGACGUUACUCGCAGAAUAAGCACCGGCUAACUCUGUGCCAGCCGCCGCAGUAA
rnacentral:rRNA from 1 species